UACGUAGGGUGCGAGCGUUGUCCGGAAUUAUUGGGCGUAAAGAGCUUGUAGGCGGUUUGUCGCGUCUGCUGUGAAAAUCCGGGGCUCAACCCCGGACUUGCAGUGGGUACGGGCAGACUAGAGUGUGGUAGGGGAGACUGGAAUUCCUGGUGUAGCGGUGGAAUGCGCAGAUAUCAGGAGGAACACCGACGGCGAAGGCAGCUUACUGGGCCGAUACUGACGCUGAGGAGCGAAAGCGUGGGGAGCGAACAGG
rnacentral:rRNA from 1 species